UGGGGAAUUUUGGACAAUGGGCGAAAGCCUGAUCCAGCAAUGCCGCGUGUGUGAAGAAGGCCUUCGGGUUGUAAAGCACUUUUGUCCGGAAAGAAAUCCUCUGGGUUAAUACCUCGGGGGGAUGACGGUACCGGAAGAAUAAGCACCGGCUAACUACGUGCCAGCAGCCGCGGUAAUACGUAGGGUGCAAGCGUUAAUCGGAAUUACUGGGCGUAAAGCGUGCGCAGGCGGUUUUGUAAGACGGAUGUGAAAUCCCCGGGCUUAACCUGGGAACUGCAUUCGUGACUGCAAGGCUAGAGUAUGGCAGAGGGGGGUAGAAUUCCACGUGUAGCAGUGAAAUGCGUAGAGAUGUGGAGGAAUACCGAUGGCGAAGGCAGCCCCCUGGGCCAAAUACUGACGCUCAUGCACGAAAGCGUGGGGAGCAAACAGGAUUCAGAUACCCUGGUAGUCCACGCCCUAAACGAUGUCAACUAGUUGUUGGGGAUUCAUUUCCUUAGUAACGUAGCUAACGCGUGAAGUUGACCGCCUGGGGAGUACGGUC
rnacentral:rRNA from 1 species